rnacentral:misc_RNA from 1 species
AUGGAACUAACAAACUCUAACCUCACAAGUUAAUAAAGGUAUUACAAAAAAUGAUCAAGCUAUAAACUGCAAUAUACUAACACAUUAAUCUGAUUCAAAAUAUCACUAGCAAAGAGAAAAGCAUGUAAAUUAAGAAGCAAGCAUACGCGAUCAGCCCGCGAUGUUCAUCUCCACAAGAUGCAAGUUCAACCACAAGCCUAGUGCAAACUCGAGUUGACCAUAACACAAAAACUCCGGUAACCACCUUGAUCACCAAUCCACCAGGCAAAAACAAUGAGAUAGCCGAUAAAAUCACUAUAGGCAACAUACAAUAUCCGAUCAGGCUGACGCACCUGUACAAGUCCAAAUUCCCGUUUCUGCCGGCGAGCAUAUUGAAGACUACAUAGAGAAACAACGAAGCCAUGAUUACCCAUCCCAAUAUGAUUCCAAAAUGAAGCUUUCCAGCAAGUAAUUGGAAAAGCCCGAACGCCAUAAGGAAUAUGAACGGUCCAGAGAGAUCAGCAUCUUCAUGAAGAUCUGCUUUAACCCGAAAUGGAUUCAUAAUCGAUAUAGUUUUUUGGUAAAUUUGCUUUGUGUUAAUUCCAAGCUCCUCCAGCAACGGUGGCUCAUCUUCAAAACCCGUCGAUCCUCCGCCGCCGAUGGUGGUGGAUGCGAAUUGUGGAGUGGAAAAUGAAGUGGAAGCAGCAGCAGACCCUACAUCAAAGGACAUGAAAGGUAUCCCAGGGUUCGAUGACUUCGGUGGUUGAAACGGCGCCGUUGGAAGCCGACGUUGUUGUGGACCGGGGUUUCCGCCGGACGGGAAAACUACCGGCGGGACGUUAAAUUCCUUCGCCAUUGAUCGGAGAUCAAAUUAAGUGAAUAAUUUGAAUAAUUUUUCCAAUAGUAAUUGAAGAUCU